CCAACCUCACCGCCUGCUGGGUGAGACGUGCUCGCCGCGA
rnacentral:antisense_RNA from 1 species